rnacentral:rRNA from 1 species
GAUGAACGCUGGCGGCGUGCCUAAUACAUGCAAGUCGAACGCUGGAAAUCUAGCUUGCUAGCUUGAAGGAGUGGCGAACGGGUGAGUAAUACAUAAGCAACCUACCCACGAAGACUGGGAUAAUCUCUGGAAACGGGGACUAAUACCGGAUAGGUAAUCGGAAGGCAUCUUCUGAUUAUUAAAGGUUAAAAACACUGGUGGAUGGGCUUAUGGCGCAUUAGUUAGUUGGUGAGGUAACGGCCCACCAAGACGAUGAUGCGUAGCCGGCCUGAGAGGGUGAACGGCCACAUUGGGACUGAGACACGGCCCAGACUCCUACGGGAGGCAGCAGUAGGGAACUUUCGGCAAUGGGGGAAACCCUGACCGAGCAACGCCGCGUGAGUGAUGACGGCCUUCGGGUUGUAAAGCUCUGUUGUAAGGGAAGAACGGUAGAUAGAGAAUAUCUAAAUGACGGUACCUUACCAGAAAGCCACGGCUAACUACGUG